GCUUGUUAAUUAUUUAUCUUGUCGGCAGGAACGUUUUUAUUGAAGGAUUUUUCAAAAUCUUAUUAAAUUGGAUCCAUGGCAUUCGUUAAAUCUUUAUAUUGCCUAGAAACAUUCGCAAAGUUCAUGGUUAGCGAGAUAAUAGAAUUCCCGUGAAGACGUAUUUUCAGUGCAUCAUGAUGAAUAAAUAGAAAGAAUCUCUACUAUUCCAUAAAAUAAUUUUUUUUUACUAAAAAAUCUCUAGAGAAAAUCUCGGAAAUAUGUGAAUUUACUAAUAUAAUGAAAAUGUAUGGACUAACUAAAUUACGAAUAAGCCUAACAAAACGAAUGAUGAGUGAUUUGGGAUUUAGAACAUAUAAUACAAGAGUAAAAGGUAAAAGAUUAAUCUUUUUAAAACUAAAUUAAAUGUAGAGUAAUCCCUCUUAUACAGAAAUGAAGAGAAAAGAAUAUAAGACAAAAUUAAUGAAAAAAAAAUAUAUAAGAAAUAUAAGUAUUGAAAAAUAGAUCUCUUUCUCUCUCUUUCUCUUUCUCCCAAAAAUGUUACAUGUUGCAUUUAAGCAUAAAUUUGUUGAGGUAGACAUGUGUGCACAGUCUGUAACUAGAUUAGAAAAAAUUUCUUUGUUUGACAUCACUGCAUUAGAUUUGAAUAUUUCAAACCAGAAACUGAGAUUGAAAGUAAUUUUUGGAUGAACGUCGUUUCUCGCUUGAGUUAUGAACGAAUGAGUAAUUAUACAUGUAGAUUGUUAAUAUAAUUUAAUGUAUGUAUUUUUAAAUUUGUUUUG